UGACUCUAGGGUUGCAUCCCCGCUUCGAUUGAUUCUGUUUGAUCUGUUCCGCGUCUCUAUUUGCUUGCGUUUGUGCUCGAUUAGGUCGAUUUCAUAUAUUCGCUGAAUUUUGACCGUAAUCCCAUUGUUAUUUUUGUUGAUUUAGUACAAGCAGUUUCGUCGAUCUCGUCCCCGCGGCAGAGUACGCCACCGCCGCCUCCACCGGGGUUCGCUUGCGCCGCCGUAGGAGCCUGGCCACCCUCCGCGUGAUUUGCCCCAUCCUCUGCUGCAGCGAUUGAACCUGGGAACCUCCGCGUGAUUGCUCUGGCCUCCUCCUGCUGCUGCAUGCGACGCGACGGGGACCCUUCCCUUCAACUCUCUCUCUCUCUCUCACCAUCCAGUUCUCUGUUUCUGAUUGAUUUGUUUUGACUCAUAUUUUUCUCCCUUCACUUCGACUGAUUAGAUUUAGGAUAUUUCUUGCUUUAUAUAAUUUUGAAGUCGUUUUAUUCUGAUGAUAGGUUACAUACAUAUUUAGUUACAGAAAUAUGUUGUUUAAAUAUUUUGAUAAGCUUGUUUGUAGCUAUAGUUUAAAUUCAUUUAGCUUAUUGGUUUUUUCUCAUUGCAGUUUUAUGUUGCAUUGUUUUUACUACUCUAUACACCCAUUUAUUGGUAGCUUCUUUCUUCAUUUUCCUCUAUAGUGGAAGCCAUUACUGUUGUCUUAGUUCAUUUUUUCUAGUUUCACGUUCCUUGUUGCUGGAAUUACACUAUAGACAAUUAUAAGUUUUGCUUACUUUCCAGGUCUAAAUCAUGAACAAUUUUCAUUAUCAAUCUUCUGGUAGUGAUGAAAGUAUUAAAAUUGCUGCCUACAAGGAAGUUCUUAAGAAUGUAAGUUACUAUUAUUUCUUCUUCCUGUAUCCCAGCCCUCUAAAUAAUUUUGAAGUAUUUCUAUUUUUAUCAAGAGAGCUUAUUAUUUUUAUUCAUCAUCAAUGGGUGUACUGAUUGCAAUUUGGGAGUGUGCCCAUAUAUUAUGAAGUGGUUAGUUCUUGUUGAGCCGAUGGUGACUUUGUAUUUUGCAAGCUAGAUACUUGGUUAAUUAUAUCUUUAGAGUAUCCUAAAACCUAAUAUGUGUUAUUAUUAUUAUUAUUAUUAUUAUUGGAAAUGUAGUUGGUAUUUUGAUUCUUCCAAUGUUCAAUAUUGUCCUUACUAAGUAAUGAGAUAAGAGAUCAGUGCCACAUGUUCUCUUACAUUAGUUGCAUACUCAGAUUACAUGUGGUUGUGAACUGUCAUUUAUAAAGUUAUAUACUGUCAUUUACAAAGUCUUUCUGUUUUAUUGGAUUUUCUUUUUUAUUUAUAUUCAUCUUCUAUUUUCAUUUCCUUUUGUUUGUUAGUACAAUGAACUCAAGGUUUCGAAGCGGAAGCUUGCGAAGACUAUAACACAUGAGGUUCUACUGUUUCUAUCGUAUUUUCUUUUGUGGUUAUAUUAUCUGCUACAUAUCUUAUUUAUUGAUUACCUUUUACCUUCCUAAUAUUUCUUAUUUAUUAGGAGGCAAAGAAACAUAAUAUGUUGAAUUUGAACUAUCACUUUAGAUGAUAUUUGUUGUCAGUUUCACCUCAGUUAAUUUUGCCAUGUCUUCUUGUUUUUGGGAAUUUCUAAUUUGUUCCCAUAGCAGAUCUGUAUAAAAACCCUACAAAAACAUCAUUGCUGUGUAAGUUUCUUUUUUUUAAUGUUCUAUGCUCAUGCCUUUUAGAUCAAGACCAUAUAUUUUUACUUGAUGAUGAUAAUUGCUGCUCUGAUUUAGAUUGUUUUGUGCUUCUGGAAAACUCAUUUCAUUUGAACAUAGAUGACUUGCUAUCUGCAUUUCUGAAGAUGUCCACUUUCUUUUUUGACCACUUAUAGCCAUCACAAACAUUAAAAUUUUUGUUCAGUAUGGUUUUCAUUAGAUUAUAGCAUUCAUACAUCCAGUAAUCAGUAUAUGUCAAACCAUUUACCUCAUCAUCCAUGUUGUAACUAGUAUCUUCAUUCAAUUGUAUACUGUGAGUUUGACUUAUUAUAACUGAUAGUUCAUAUGUGCUUAUAGGUUCCUGAAAGUGGCAAAGCAAUGUCAAGUCAACUUCAAUAAUCACAUAGCUAUGAUCAUUUCAUCUAGUUUCUAUAGUUCAGUAGUUCAGUAAUUGUAAUCAGAUUAUUACCUUUUCUUUCAUCAGCUUUUCCUGUGUGUUAUGACUCAAACUUGAUUUUUUUCUUCAGUCCCUACUUUGUUGUACUUAUCUCAUGGUAGCUGAUUCUUUGAAAUUGAUUAACAAAGUACAUUUCGAAUAAUCAAAUUUGAGUUUAGUUUCAA